GUUUCCGUGGUGUAGUGGUUAUCACGUGCGCCUCACACGCGCAAGGUCCCGGUUCGAUCCCAGGGCGGAAACA
rnacentral:tRNA from 1 species